rnacentral:lncRNA from 1 species
UUUGUUCCUUGAGUCAUUUCCAUUAUUUUUCUUCUUCUUUUUAGCUUUUUUUAUUGUAUAUUUUAUGUAUUUACAUUUCAAAUGUUAUCCCCCUUCCCAUUUCCCCCUCUUCUAUCUUCCCCACUCCUCCUAUGAGGAUGCUUCCCCACCCACCUACUCCACCCACCCACUCCCACCUUAUCGUCCUGGCAUUCCCCUACCUGGGGAAUCAGGUCUUCACAGCAUCAAGAGCUUUUCCUCUUAUUGUUGCCCAACAAAGCUGUCCUCUGAUACAUAUGUGCUUGGAGCCAUGGGUCCCGCCAUGUGUAUUCUAUGGUUGGUGGUUUAGUCCCUGGGAGUUCUUUUUUUCUGCUUUGAAAUGGCAUUCUUGGGUGUCAGUCAAAAGUAUAGUAAGAAGUAAGUCCAUUGACUGUGCAGGGCCUCAAUACAACUUACUGUAUGUUUUCUACCCAUAGAAUUAAUAAGUGUAUGUGGGGUUUUGUUACUAAUUUCUAGCACUGUCAGACUGCCUAGCUAUACCUCUAUGAUUAGAGUUUUCUUUUUUUUUUUUGGUUCUUUUUUUUUUUUUCGGAGCUGGGGACCAAACCCAGGGCCUUGCACUUCCUAAGCAAGCGCUCUACCACUGAGCUAAAUCCCCAACCCCUAGAGUUUUCUUGAGACUAAAUAGGAACUGCCAAUGUAAAACCUUCUUAGGCUUCUCCUAAAGUCUUUAGUAGAUAGAUAGCUAUUUAAUUUCUUCAUACAAAAUUGUUCUAAAGCAAGAAAAAUAUAAACUAUAACUGGCAAUUACAUUUUUUUAGUUAUGACUAUAAUUCUGAAGAAUUCCAUAGUUAAUGAAGGAAAGGAUCUCAAGUUUUAAUAGAGAGUAUCAAGGUAUUGUAUUAUAUUGUGUCUCUUAAUUCUCUUUUUUACUGUAUAUCAGUUUUUUAAUGAAAGUACAUCAUAGAUGAGAGGAACAGUAGUUAGAAAUAUUAGCUGUCUUCAUACCAUAUUAAGACUAUGAUUUUUGGAUGUCCUAUUCAAAGCAGAACCCUGUGAAAUAAAAGGUUAAAAGGUUAAGAAAAAAUAAUGGGACUAUGGCAAUGUGAUUCAUGUUUUACAUACUUGAAGAAUUUUAACUGACAUUUUAAAAAUAUAGGUUGUCAUAAUCUGGUGGCAGCUGUGAGCCUCCUUUGACUUUUUAGAACUUGACUUCCCGCACUACUUCAUAGCUAUGUCUGACCUAAAGUAAAUUUGUCUCUAACAAUAUUGUGGUCUGAAUGAGAAAUGUCCCACCACAGGUUUGUUUAUUUAACUCCUUGGUCCCAGGUUAGUGGUGCGAUUUGGGGAGGUAAUGGAAUGGUUACACUGUAGAGUCUGGCUAGAGGAAUUAUUGUGGGGAACUUUAAGGAUUUCUGACCUUUUCCCACUUCCUGCUUCCUAUAUGUGAAUGAGAUGUAAUCCCUCAGCUUCCGACUAUAGAAAUCUAGUGCCAUGAUGGACUCUUCAUUCCUGUGGAACAGUAGGACAAAAUAAACUCCUUUUGUAAAUUGC